CGGCGCGAGAGGUUGCGCGAGGAGCUGCGGCAGCUAGAAGCCCCUCUCAGGUGGGGGCGUGCAUGCCUGGGAGAAACUGGAUUUGUGAGUUCAUCCUGCAGUGAUUGAUGGCUUAUGUGUUUUAAGCCAGGAGGCAACCAUGCCGUAGAAUGAGAAUAAAAAAAUGGAACCUUUACAGAAGAACUCCAAGGUUUAGGAUUCACUUGUCUUUGGUUCAAGGACAGAAGAACCAGACAAUUGCUACAGCACCAGAUCAUUGCUUGAGAUUCCCUGAAACUUCUCACAGGGUUACAAGGAAAUUGAGGGUACCGAUUAUCCUGUACUUCUAG
rnacentral:lncRNA from 1 species